rnacentral:rRNA from 1 species
CCUACGGGUGGCAGCAGUGGGGAAUAUUGGACAAUGGGCGAAAGCCUGAUCCAGCCAUGCCGCGUGUGUGAAGAAGGCCUUCGGGUUGUAAAGCACUUUCAGUGGGGAAGAAAGCCUUGGGGCUAAUACCCUCGAGGAAGGACAUCACCCACAGAAGAAGCACCGGCUAACUCCGUGCCAGCAGCCGCGGUAAUACGGAGGGUGCGAGCGUUAAUCGGAAUUACUGGGCGUAAGGCGCGCGUAGGCGGUCUGAUAAGCCGGUUGUGAAAGCCCCGGGCUCAACCUGGGAACGGCAUCCGGAACUGUCAGGCUAGAGUGCAGGAGAGGAAGGUAGAAUUCCCGGUGUAGCGGUGAAAUGCGUAGAGAUCGGGAGGAAUACCAGUGGCGAAGGCGGCCUUCUGGACUGACACUGACGCUGAGGAGCGAAAGCGUGGGUAGCAAACAGGAUUAGAUACCCCGGUAGUC